rnacentral:rRNA from 1 species
ACACGGGGGGCGCAAGCGUUAUUCGGAAUUAUUGGGCGUAAAGGGCGCGUAGGCGGUUUCGUCGGUCAGAUGUGAAAGCCCGGGGCUCAACCCCGGACGUGCAUUUGAAACAGCAAGACUUGAGUACGGGAGAGGAAAGCGGAAUUCCUGGUGUAGAGGUGAAAUUCGUAGAUAUCAGGAGGAACACCGAUGGCGUAGGCAGCUUUCUGGACCGAUACUGACGCUGAGGCGCGAAGGCGUGGGUAGCGAACAGGAUUAGAAACCCUAGUAGUCC